UAAAUGUUAGUUGUUUCUGUUUGGU
rnacentral:misc_RNA from 1 species